rnacentral:rRNA from 1 species
UGGUGGAGUGAUUUGUCUGGUUAAUUACGAUAACGAACGAGACCUUAACCUGCUAAAUAGCCCGACCGGCUUUUGCUGGCUGCUGGCUUCUUAGAGGGACUGUCUGUGUCUAACAGACGGAAGUUUGAGGCAAUAACA